rnacentral:rRNA from 1 species
AGGGCACCACCAGGAGUGGAGCCUGCGGCUUAAUUUGACUCAACACGGGGAAACUUACCCGGCCUGGACACUGGAAGGAUUGACAGAUUGAGAGCUCUUUCUUGAUUCAGUGGGUGGUGGUGCAUGGCCGUUCUUAGUUGGUGGAGCGAUUUGUCUGGUUAAUUCCGAUAACGAACGAGACUCUAGCCUAUUAAAUAGGCUCUCGGCUUUUAAACGCCGGGAGGACUUCUUAGAGGGACAGGUGGCGGUUCAGCCGCACGAAAGAGAGCAAUAGCAGGUCUGUGAUGCCCUUUGUUGUCCGGGGCCGCACGCGCGCUACACUGAAGAGAUCAGCGUGCUUUACGUUCCUGCUCCGACCGGAGUGGGGAACCCAGUGAACCUUCUUCGUGAUUGGGAUAGAAGAUUGUAAUUAUUCUUCUUGAACGAGGAAUUCCCAGUAAAUGCGAGUCAUAAGCUCGCGUUGAUUACGUCCCUGCCCUUUGUACACACCGCCCGUCGCUACUACCGGAUUGAACGAUU